GAUGAACGCUGGCGGCGUGCCUAAUACAUGCAAGUCGAGCGAAGAGGGGACGGGUGAGUAACACGUGGAUAACCUCCUAUAAGCCUGGGAUAGCUUGGGGAAACCGGGGCUAGAACGGAAACUUAUCGCUGGUUCCGCGCUGCAUUAGCUAGUGGGUAGGGUAACGGCUUACCAAGGCAACGAUGCAUAGCCGACCUGAGAGGGUGAUCGGCCACACUGGAACUGAGACACGGUCCAGACUCCUACGGGAGGCAGCAGUAGGGAAUCUUCCGCAAUGGGCGAAAGCCUGACGGAGCAACGCCGCGUGAGUGAAGAAGGUCUUCGGAUCGUAAAACUCUGUUAUUAGGGAAGCGGUACCUAAUCAGAAAGCCACGGCUAACUACGUGCCAGCAGCCGCGGUAAUUC
rnacentral:rRNA from 1 species